GAUUUCCAACAAGGAUGUGGAAAUAAUAAAUAGGCCACCUUGUUUAUAGUUUUCUCCCAGAGUCACCAUUAGCCUUUCCUCCUAUUUUCAUAUUUUUGCCCUCCUGCCGUUCCGAUUUUGCCUCCAGAGCCCCGACUCACGGCCACCGUCGUGAACAGCACCGGCGCUCCGCCGGCGUCGGCGUUUCGUGGGGGCGACGCCGGCGCGACCCGACGCCGGCGGCACCUACCCCGCGCUUCUCCGCCGCAGCUCAACCAAUUCCUCUCUAGAUUAGGGUUUCUUCCUAACUAAAUCUGGCAAUUACACCGCCGCUCUACAUUUUCCAAUCCAUUCCUCGUACCGCCGACCAAGCCUGAUCGCGACCCGCAGCUCCUCUGCCUCCUACGCCGCAGUGGUGUUCCGUCGGCUGGCUCUGCAUCGUCUCCCCGAGGAUCUCCAUUUCUAGUGUUCAACCUGAUCACUCCCUACGUAGAUCCGCCCGGCCUAAAGAUUUCGUUUCUUCGUUGUGUUGUACUGCUCACAGUUGUAAUUUGCAAGCUAGCCAUGGAAGACAACAAUGAUGAGCAUAAUGUAUCUCUUCCUCAGGAUAUCCAGCACACCAUUCUUGCUUCACUACCUGCUAGGGUUGUUCUCAAGUUUCGAACAGUAUGUAGAUUCUGGCGAGACUGCAUUCAAGAGCCCAAUUUUGUCGAUCGUCACCUCAACAAUGCUCUCCGCUCCCACCGGUCCAUUGCUUGCUUCACCUCGGUUGAUGAGGGUCUUGUCUGCAUGUACACAUUUGAUCCCACCACACUGAACUGCAAAAGCAUGGAUCUCGUGUUGUCGAGUAGGUUUCAGAUGUCAGACCCAUGCCAUGGCUUGGUGUGCGCCUAUGAUUUAAAAGGUGCUGUUGAGGUGUUGAAUCCAACAACAAGGAUACAUUUGAGGCUGCCAGUUUCAGAGCUACAGUCACUUGCUUCAGAAUAUUUUCUUGGACCUGUGCCUUCAACAAAGGAGUACAAGGUGCUCUGUAUCCACCACCGGGUGCGGUUCUUGACAUUUGAAGUAUGCACUGUUGGCACACAGUCAUGGAGGGCAGUGCGCGAAUCUGCAGGCCUCCUGAAGACAACAAAGGCGGUCAUUGUUAAUGAUGUCAUGCAUUGGCUACUUCUUGAUGAGAUAUCCUCCAAUUUUACUCGGAACAUCUUGUCGUUCAACCUGACAGAUGAGAUGUUCUCAGAAACUGCUGUCCCAGAUGCUGUAAAAGACCGUGAAUUGCACCUGUUCGAGGGGGGAGGAAAGCUUCAUUUGCUGGCAAUGCCCGGUGAGGGAUCAGCACCUAAAACCUCAGAGAUUUGGGUGGCGAACUCGACCUGUGCAGUCUGGGACCACAUGUGCAACAUCGCUUUUGUGCUACCUUUGGGCAUGAGGCCACUUUUCCUGCACAACAAUAAGCUCUUCUAUUGCAACCAAAGAAGAUUCUACUAUGUUGAUCUUCAGGAUGGGAGUGGUUCCUAUCUCAACAUGCCUUUUGGCGAGUGCAUCAUAUCGGCUGGGAUUUUCGUGGAGAGCCUUGUUCUACAUUCUGUGACUGGCCUGGUGGACUCCAGAGCAAUGCUACAAAGUCCCCAUGAUGCUAGAUCAUUUCCAACAGGGCGUGGACCAUCUGCUCGUGGCGCUGGAUCGUCCUCAGCAAGCCCUCGACGAUCUUUCAAGAAGGCAAAGAGCAAUAUAAACAUGCAGUGGAGGUUGGCAUAGAUCUCGCAAACGCCUGACAUCAUAUCCAUGAAUAGUUCUCUGCUAUGUACAAUCCAAUAAAGUUUACUGGUGUUUGUUUGUGUAGAGAUGAAGAAAUAGACCAUGGGGGUGUGGGUCUGGGACAGGGUAGAACAUAAGAAGCAAAUAAGAAAGUGUCUCUGUUAGCAGUUUGUUCAUUUUUAUCGUAUGGGGAUUUAUGUGCUGUACUGGAAAAUAAAAUGAAAACUCUGAACCUGAUAUACUGUAUACUUGUUCUGGUUUGCUGUAAUGAACUGUAUUCCUGCGUUGCAUUUUUGAAAAUUAUGAUGCCAAGACUAAUAAUUCAAAC
rnacentral:rRNA from 1 species